AGAUCCAUUCUGAGACACGAAAAAUGUAUAAUAAAUUUUAAGACCAGGUACUAUGUAGUAGGAGGCUACUGAAACAGGUGUCACAAUAACGCCAUCUAGAAAACGCCUGAUGCUAUUUUAAGGUUAACAAAUCGUAUAUCUCUGUUUUGUUUCUUCAAAAAAGAAUUUUACGUUCUUUGAUUUUAUUCUACUGUUAAUCUAUCGAAUGAAUUUCAUACUUCACGUAUUGCUAAUUAUAUAUGUAUUAACUACUUAUAUUGAUUUUUGAACUUACAAGCGCCGGCGCAUCAAUUUUUAUUGCAUUUCUUUUGUUAUAUUUGUUACAAUUGAUGGAUAGAUCAUUGCUUAAGUAAAAACUUUAUAUCAUAAAUAGCAGUAACAUAUUGGAGGAUUAUUUUACAAAAUUAUGAAUCUCAUUUUUUUUUAUAAUUUCCCUAUUAGUUCUCAGAUAAUUACUAUUCACUAAUGAAUAUAGAAUGAUAUUGUACAGAACACGCUUCUAAAAAGUAUAAAAAUUCUUUCAACGUUGUUCUUUAUAAAAUCAUCCUUUAAAAAUAUUUCAAAUUUCGCGCUUUAGCGAAUUUUAAUACUUGAGUCUCGUAUUACCAUUUCCUAUAAGCGUAGCUACAAAAAAAGAUGCAGAAACGAUUCGUUUCCCGCCGUUUCUGCGAUACUGUUAGGCUCAAUCGGAUUGAGAAGUCACUAAAAUUUCUCAAGUUGGUGUUAAGUGAAAGAAAUAUGUUGAAAUUCGCAAAAUUAUCUGAUAAAGCGCAUGCACCAACAAGAGGAUCGGAAUAUGCUGCUGGAUAUGAUUUAAGAAGUGCCUAUGAAUAUACUGUGCCUGCACGUGGUAAAGAACUUGUCAAAACUGAUUUGCAAAUUGCAGUUCCUGAGAAUACAUACGGAAGAAUAGCACCACGUUCUGGAUUAGCGUGGAAAAAUCAUAUUGAUGUAGGUGCAGGUGUUAUUGAUGCCGAUUAUCGCGAGGAAAAUGUAUGGAAGCUCUGUCAGGAUGUAGCAACCAGGCACGGAUCGGAAUUACAGCAUUGCUAUGCUGCUUUUGUGAGCAACUCCUGGCGUAGCGUACCGCUUUGGCGACAACGGGCAGGGAAGGACGAGGAUAAACUUGUAGUUUGGGACUUCCACGUAAUCCUUAUCUACGCGCCCGACGAUAGAGCGGUCGUUUACGAUUUAGAUAGCGCGUUGCCAUUUCCCACGCAUUUCUGGAAAUACGCGAUGGAAACGUUUAGAUCGGACGAGGUUCUGCAACCAGAACAUCAUAGAAGAUUCAGAGUGGUGCCAGCCAGUGUAUACCUGCGGGAGUUCGCCUCCGAUCGACAUCACAUGAAACGCGAGGAUGGAACAUGGAUCAAGACACCGCCGGAUUAUCCGCCAAUUUCGACAUCAACGUGCAAGGAUAACUUGGAUUCCUUUAUUAAUAUGGAUCCGGGGACCGGGUUCGGGGUUGUGUUGACCUUAGACCAAUUAUUCGACCGAUUUCAUAGGCCGAACGCGAUCCCAACGGCACCUCGUACACCUCAUCCGCAACCGACACCGACUUAAAUAAACCGCUAAACUUUUGCAAAGUAAUACUAGAACAAUAAAUAUUCAUAGAAUAACAGACAUGUAACUAGAAGUUAAGUAAUGCUGAUACUGACUUACAUCGAACAUAAGUAGGUGCAUUAAUUUUUCAUUGUCCUCUGUUCUCGUUUCCCAACGAUGAAUUCCUUUCCUUUUAUUUCAACAAAUUACGCAAGUUAGAACUUCUGCUAAAAUAUCUCUAAAUAAAUUUUUUUCCUCCUUUUUUUCUUUCUCUUUUUUUCUCUUUUCUUUUCACAGAACAAGUGUUCUCAUCAAUAUAUAACUAGGUUUCCCCUGGAUUUCACGUUCGAUAGUACGGCCUAUUCCGCUUUGAUUCUGAAAUAGAGAGGCGUCGUGUCGUCGGAGUGUUGGCAAGUAUCAGAGCGUUCCAAUCACGUAUUGGAAAGAAGGAGGAAUACUCACUGCCAAGGAUGACCUGGACCUCGGCCUGGGAACGUGAAAGCCGCUAUUCUGCGGAAUUAGAUCAGCCCUGUCCUUAUCUUGCGGCUCGGAAUCCGAGCUGUCUGGAUCUGGCUGAUGUCUUUGUCGAGGUCUCGUCGGUGCUUGAAGUCGAGGCAGUGGCACUGGCGGCAGUGUUCCAUGAAUAUUCAAGGGUGGAUACCCGAAUACGGCGGAACUUGGUCGAGUUGGACCCAUAGGUUCCGUCUGGCGUUCAAUAAAAAUAUUAAUUAAAAUAUCA